UAAAAUUAUUUCCAUAUAGUGGUAUAUAUGUUCCCUUUGCAAAAAGGUGAUCCUGACACAACUGAAGACAUGAACCAGCCUGAAAGUAAGAGUCACUGAAUAUUUCUUUCAUGUACACUGACAGUGAAUUUUCAAAUGGUCUAAAUCCUUUUCAUGUUUCUUUUAGAAUGCUCUGAUGAAAUAAAAGACCUAGUGAUUGUCCUCUUGAUCAGUCUGACUGUUUUCCUCCUGGUGAUCAUUACAUAUCUGGUGGCUAAAAUCAAGAAAUUUCAGACAGAUAAUGAAGAACCAAUUCCACAAGGAAGUGAGAUUCAAGGCUCAUCCAAUGUACAAUAUGCAUCUGUGAAUUUCCGCCAAAAACUUAAACGAAGCAGGAGGCGUGAACCAGAGCAGAACCUGGAGUCGAACGCCGUGUACGCUGCCCCCAGAUAGAUCCAGGAAACAACUGUGUACCUUCUGUUCAAUAGGGUUUCCCAUUUUGGAAGAAAUUGGCAGUUUCAUUUAUGUUAUUGGUUACUUUUAAAAUGUGAUGUUUUUUCUUUUUGUUCAUUAUUUGCAACUGAGAAAAACCUUUUUUUUUUCUUUUUUGUAAACAGUUGUUUCAGAAACAGGAAUCCUUGAAAUGGACUUGGACCAAACUGAAAUUACAGCUCAGAGUCAAACAGUAAAGAACCAACUCUACUUUUGCACUUGUGUUUAUUUUUGCCAUAUCUGUAUUAAUGUUACAUAUCUGGUUAAAUACACCAGAUCCUUGCCCAUGCUUACUUUGACUUACUAAAUGUAUCAAAGCAUUUAGUCAACAACGAUGCGCUUUGUAUUCAUCAAUGAAAUGGUGACUUCAGCUUGUCAGUAGUAUGAAAGUAUGAACUAACUCUGCAUUAGUUAAAAGAGCUGGUGUUUGAAGCUGGGGAAGGUUGUCGAGAACUGUGAGCUCACAGCCACACAUCACUUGUUCAACAGGAAGACAACACUGUGGUCUGAGACCACAUGACGUCCGACAAGUCAG